CGACUCUCGGCAACGGAUAUCUCGGCUCUCGCAUCGAUGAAGAACGUAGCGAAAUGCGAUACUUGGUGUGAAUUGCAGAAUCCCGUGAACCAUCGAGUCUUUGAACGCAAGUUGCGCCCCAAGCCGUCAGGCCGAGGGCACGUCUGCCUGGGUGUCACG
rnacentral:rRNA from 1 species